GCAAAACGCGAAGAACCUUACCAGGUCUUGACAUCCCGCUGCCCGCUCUAGAGAUAGAGUUUUCCCUUCGGGGACAGCGGUGACAGGUGGUGCAUGGUUGUCGUCAGCUCGUGUCGUGAGAUGUUGGGUUAAGUCCCGCAACGAGCGCAACCCUUGAUCUUAGUUGCCAGCAUUCAGUUGGGCACUCUAAGGUGACUGCCGGUGAUAAACCGGAGGAAGGUGGGGAUGACGUCAAAUCAUCAUGCCCCUUAUGACCUGGGCUACACACGUGCUACAAUGGACGGUACAGAGGGUCGCAACCCCGCGAGGGUGAGCAAAUCCCAUAAAACCGUUCUCAGUUCGGAUUGUAGGCUGCAACUCGCCUACAUGAAGCCGGAAUCGCUAGUAAUCGUGGAUCAGCAUGCCACGGUGAAUACGUUCCCGGGUCUUGUACACACCG
rnacentral:rRNA from 1 species